AUUGAACGCUGGCGGCAUGCCUUACACAUGCAAGUCGAACGGUAACAGGUCUUCGGAUGCUGACGAGUGGCGAACGGGUGAGUAAUACAUCGGAACGUGCCUAGUAGUGGGGGAUAACUACUCGAAAGAGUGGCUAAUACCGCAUGAGAUCUACGGAUGAAAGCAGGGGAUCGCAAGACCUUGUGCUACUAGAGCGGCCGAUGGCAGAUUAGGUAGUUGGUGGGAUAAAAGCUUACCAAGCCGACGAUCGGUAGCUGGUCUGAGAGGACGAUAAGCCAAACUAGGACUUAGGCACGGACCAGACUCCUACGGGAGGCAGCAGUGGGGAAUUGUGGACAAUGGGCGCAAGCCUGAUCCAGCCAUGCCGCGUGCGGGAAGAAGGCCUUCGGGUUGUAAACCGCUUUUGUCAGGGAAGAAAUCCUUUGGGUUAAUACCUCGGGGGGAUGACGGUACCUGAAGAAUAAGCACCGGCUAACUACGUGCCAGCCGCCGCCGUAACAC
rnacentral:rRNA from 1 species